rnacentral:rRNA from 1 species
AACGAACGCUGGCGGCAUGCCUAACACAUGCAAGUCGAACGAGACCUUCGGGUCUAGUUGCGCACGGGUGCGUAACGCGUGGGAACCUGCCCUUAGGUUCGGAAUAACUCCCCGUAAGGGGUGCUAAUACCGGAUAAUUUCUUCGGACCAAAGAUUUAUCGCUUUUGGAUGGGCCCGCGUUGGAUUAGCUAGUUGGUAGGGUAAAAGCCUACCAAGGCGACGAUCCAUAGCUGGUCUGAGAGGAUGAUCAUCCACACUGGGACUGAGACACGGCCCAGACUCCUACGGGAGGGAGCAGUGGGGAAUAUUGGACAAUGGGCGAAAGCCUGAUCCAGCAAUGCCGCGUGAGUGAUGAAGGCCUUAGGGUUGUAAAGCUCUUUUACCCGGGAUGAUAAUGACAGUACCGGGAGAAUAAGCUCCGGCUAACUCCGUG